UCUCCACCCCCUCCCCCUUCCACAAGGGUCCCUGAGCCUUGGCAGGGACGCCAUCGUUGUCUGACUAUUCUCCAACUCAAGCAGGACACUGAACCCUCAUGUUCUCCCAUGCCUGUCUCCAGGGGCUGUUGGCAAGCCUAGGUUGAGGUUUUUUUCCUCCCUCUUCUUACCAAACACAAACGAGGAAACGGUCGAAACCAGAUGGGAACAUGUCCCGAGGGUAAUAAGCCUAUGUAAACACGCAUGUGAGAAGCACUGUGGCUGGUGUGAUUCGCCUCCUGUGGAGCGAGCCUACCGUCCAAUCAGCAACCCACUGGCUGGCACUUCCGCAGCGAGGAAUGUGGGACCCACAACUGGGUGCUUUAGGUACAGGUGCAGGCUAUUGCAACUUCGAAUCUCCCGAGUUCCACAUCAACACUGGGCUUUGCAGACUCAGAGAACUGCCUCCCGGACCCCGGCUUGCUUCCUCAGGGCAGACCCCACCCCACCCAUCAGGCAGAGACCACUCCACACCACCUGGAAGAAGACUACCCAGGCCUGGCCACGAUUUCCAUAAAUCCUGUAGGGGCAAAUCACCAUGGCAAAAAACGUCCUGUGCAAACACCGCAUCCACCUGCUGCCUCCCCCUCCCCCAACCUCCCUCAACCUCAUCGCUCUCAUUCCCCACAUCAGGUCCCAGAGACAAACUGAGGCGUGACUCCACCGAAGCUGACCGAGCCGGUGAGUUUAUUGAGCUUCAUUAAAGAGCACAGGUAAGGGGCUACUUACAGGAGCGGGGUAUUCCUCUCCAACAGGCAAUACCUGGAAAGUCUUUACCCUGCAGCGACGAGGUCCAUCAACAAACAUAGCACAGCUGGGAGGUUUGUUUGUUUGUUUGUUUGUUUGUUUGUUUGUAAGGGGGCACAGCUGAAUGUCCCCAGAUGGCAGUUGUUUGGUUCAGGAGACAGUGCUGGGCAACAGUGGUUGACUCCAGCUAGGAACAGAGAUGAGCUACUUAGGGGUCUCCUCGGGUGUUGGAGGUAGGUAACCGUAGCCU
rnacentral:lncRNA from 1 species